rnacentral:rRNA from 1 species
AUUGAACGCUGGCGGCAGGCUUAACACAUGCAAGUCGAGCGGGGGAGGGUAGCUUGCUACCGGACCUAGCGGCGGACGGGUGAGUGAUGCUUAGGAAUCUGCCUAUUAGUGGGGGACAACAUCUCGAAAGGGAUGCUAAUACCGCAUACGUCCUACGGGAGAAAGCAGGGGAUCUUCGGACCUUGCGCUAAUAGAUGAGCCUAAGUCGGAUUAGCUAGUUGGUGGGGUAAAGGCCUACCAAGGCGACGAUCUGUAGCGGGUCUGAGAGGAUGAUCCGCCACAAUGGGACCGAGACACGGCCCAGACUCCCACGGGAGGCAGCAGUGGGGAAUAUUGGACAAUGGGGGGAACCCUGAUCCAGCCAUGCCGCGUGUGUGAAGAAGGCCUUAUGGUUGUAAAGCACUUUAAGCGAGGAGGAGGCUACUUUAGUUAAUACCUAGAGAUAGUGGACGUUACUCGCAGAAUAAGCACCGGCUAACUCUGUG